rnacentral:rRNA from 1 species
CUGCUGCCUUCCGUAGGAGUUUGGACCGUGUCUCAGUUCCAAUGUGGGGGACCUUCCUCUCAGAACCCCUACGCAUCGUCGGCUUGGUGGGCCGUUGCCCCACCAACUACCUAAUGCGCCGCAUGCCCAUCCGUGACCGGGGUCGCCCCCUUUGACCGGCAGGGGAUGUCCCCUCCCGGCAUUAUGUUGUAUUAGGCGGGAUUUCUCCCGGUUAUCCACUCGUCGUCCGACCGGCCGUAGGUUCGACUAACGUUACGGUUACGUUUAACCCUCCCGUACCCCGGUUGGCCCGGUCCCGGGUCCGGCCGGGCCGG